AGUGAACGCUGGCGGUAGGCCUAACACAUGCAAGUCGAACGGCAGCACAGAGGAGCUUGCUCCUUGGGUGGCGAGUGGCGGACGGGUGAGGAAUACAUCGGAAUCUACUCUGUCGUGGGGGAUAACGUAGGGAAACUUACGCUAAUACCGCAUACGACCUACGGGUGAAAGCAGGGGAUCUUCGGACCUUGCGCGAUUGAAUGCGCCGCUGUCGGAUUAGCUAGUUGGCGGGGUAAAGGCCCACCAAGGCGACGAUCCGUAGCUGGUCUGAGAGGAUGAUCAGCCACACUGGAACUGAGACACGGUCCAGACUCCUACGGGAGGCAGCAGUGGGGAAUAUUGGACAAUGGGCGCAAGCCUGAUCCAGCCAUACCGCGUGGGUGAAGAAGGCCUUCGGGUUGUAAAGCCCUUUUGUUGGGAAAGAAAUCCAUCUGGUUAAUACCCGGGUGGGAUGACGGUACCCAAAGAAUAAGCACCGGCUAACUUCGUGCCAGCCGCCGCGGUAA
rnacentral:rRNA from 1 species